CAUCAAACCUGCUCAAUGGUCAACUUUCCUUGUGGGGUCACCCAUAAAGACAGUGGGAGGGUUAAUGAAGCUCCCCCAUUGGAACAGUAAAAUGCUGCUGUUUGCUUCAUGUCUAAAUGCUUACGUCAUACGUGUAACGCUACUCUUUAGCCACACCCACGUAGAUGAUGACAAGUAUUGUCCUGUUAGGUGAGAUGAUUGAUGAGUAAAAGGUCCGUGUACAUGACGGCCAUCCGAUUUUCCUUUGGAAAUAAAAAAACAAAAAAAGGGAAACGAGCCGUUUUGCCGAUCACCAAUCAAAAAACAAAAGAAUGUAAACGAAAGUCAACUCGUUUUUUGUUUUUCUAUUUUCAACAUAAAAAAGGAAAACGGAAAACAAACUUUUUUUUGUUUUUCGAUUGUGUAUUUCAAGAUGAAACGUUUAAAUCAGAAAAUAAGGGGAAAUAGUUCAUUUUCUGCCUUAAAUUUACCUUUUUCGCUGUGACCCGGAAGUUUACCUGCAAAAAUACAAGCGAAGAAGAAAAUCAGAAGUUUACUGCAAAAACACGAGAAGGAAUUACGUUAGCGGCUAUCAAAAGACCGGUUUAUAUUUGGAUCAUAUGUGCGCGACAGAAUGGACGUAGAAACUUUUGUUCUCUUUCAUGGAGGAAAACGAGUCACCAUGAGUGGCGGUGACAUGUCAGUGGACAAGAUAUGCAGGAUUUUCCAGGUAUUCAAACUUUGAAACUGUUAAAGUUUUGAGUAAUUAACAUGCACCACAACAUCCUAACUACGAUUGGCUAGCUAAACAUACACUUUAGCUAGUAAUGUGUGUUUUAAUCGUCUUCAGUAGACAUUACUCAGUGCAGUAAAAAUUGUAUACACGAAUAUUUCAUUGUAUUUUAUCACAUUUACUCAAAAUGUAUAAAUUUGUUCUAAAGUUACAUGUUGUAUGUGGAUACGUUUUCUUAACGUCUUUGUUUAUUCUGUUAAAUUUGGCAGGUCACUGGAAAUAGCCUGUACAUUACUGAUGACAUGAAUACAGCAAUAUUUCCAGAUCCUUCUGGAAAUUUCACCACCCUCAGUCUCCAACAUCUGGGUCAUUAUGAGGUUCAUGGAGAUUCAGAACAAGUUCAAAGCCCUCCAAUCAGAGCCCUUCCCUCUGCUGCUCCCUUUGCCUUUAUGCGCAGAGCCUCGGCUUCUGCAUCCACCGAAACACAUGCUUCUGCAACUUCUCGAUCUAAUUUUCCACCCAGACAGUUCCAAAGGUAUUUUUUUCCAAAAAUAUAAAUAAAAGGAACUUUUGUUUUGGAAAAAAUGUUUAAGUAAUUUUAACUGUAGUUAUAUCUUUCUCCUAGGUCAGUGCAUAUUGCAGAAAUUGUCAACGACAAACUAACAGCUGCCAGGACAGUGGUCAUUCGCUUCUUGGAAUCUGAUGCAACAGUUGAAAGAAUGACUGUUAAGGUGAAGGAGGCUUUGGGCUGUGUUGAGGAGAUUACAUUGACAGGCAGCCAAGGAAAUGAAAUUGUGGACUCAGGGGGUACAAGAAGUGAGUUGUUAUCAUUUGUCAUUUAGUAUUGGUUAGAUGUGAAUACCUGUUUUGCAGAUGUCAAAUUAGUCUUUCCAUUCCCAAAGGCUCCAGUUACUGGAAGCAAAACUCCAGAAAAAUCUAUGCCAUCUUUGAGGAUGAUUUUGUGGAGUUUCAAAAUGGUCGAAGACAGAAAACCAGGCGAAGGUCUGAAGAAACUGGGAUCCUUCAAGAGGUUAUUGGAAAAAUUGAUCAGCUUAAGCAAGCUACUGAGACCCUCCAAAAUGUCACUGAAGCAAUAAACCUGCUGUCUGACCUUGCAAAAGUUAAAAGCACAACAGCACGACAAGAUGAGCAACUGCACCUUGUCAUGGAUGCCUUCUGCUGUCAUGUUUGCAAAAGUCUGAUGUCCAAGCCGAUGUUUUCCACAUGCUGUCAGUCUCUACUGGGAUGCCAAACGUGUGUGGAGCAGUGGCUGUUGAACACAAACUACUGUCUGAAAUGCAGAGCAGAAGACUUUGAGUUCAAGGUACAUGAGGUCAAAGGUCUUAGUGCCGUUUUAGCCUUUUUCAAAGAGGUGCACACAGAAUAGUCACUGAUGGAACAGUCAUUCAUUUUCUCAGG